UGGGGAAUAUUGCACAAUGGGCGCAAGCCUGAUGCAGCCAUGCCGCGUGUAUGAAGAAGGCCUUCGGGUUGUAAAGUACUUUCAGCGGGGAGGAAGGGAGUAAAGUUAAUACCUUUACUCAUUGACGUUACCCGCAGAAGAAGCACCGGCUAACUCCGUGCCAGCAGCCGCGGUAAUACGAAGGGUGCAAGCGUUAAUCGGAAUUACUGGGCGUAAAGGGUGCGUAGGCGGUUAGUUAAGUCUGUUGUGAAAUCCCCGGGCUCAACCUGGGAAUGGCAAUGGAUACUGGCUAGCUAGAGUGUGUCAGAGGAUGGUGGAAUUUCCGGUGUAGCGGUGAAAUGCGUAGAGAUCGGAAGGAACAUCAGUGGCGAAGGCGGCCAUCUGGGACAACACUGACGCUGAAGCACGAAAGCGUGGGGAGCAAACAGGAUUAGAUACCCUGGUAGUCUACGCCCUAAACGAUGCGAACUGGAUGUUGGUCUCAACUCGGAGAUCAGUGUCGAAGCUAACGCGUUAAGUUCGCCGCCUGGGGAGUACGGUCGCAAGACUG
rnacentral:rRNA from 1 species